CCUACGGGAGGCAGCAGUGGGGAAUCUUGCGCAAUGGGCGAAAGCCUGACGCAGCAACGCCGCGUGGGGGAUGAAGGCUCUCGGGUCGUAAACCCCUUUCAGGGACGAAACGGUACCUGCAGAAGAAGCCCCGGCCAACUACGUGCCAGCAGCCGCGGUAACACGUAGGGGGCAAGCGUUGUCCGGAUUUAUUGGGCGUAAAGAGCUCGUAGGUGGUUCGGUAAGUCAGGUGUGAAACCUCCAGGCUCAACCUGGAGACGCCACUUGAUACUGCUGGACUGGAGUCCGGUAGGGGAGCGUGGAAUUCCUGGUGUAGCGGUGAAAUGCGCAGAUAUCAGGAGGAACACCAGCGGCGAAGGCGGCGCUCUGGGCCGGACUGACACUGAGGAGCGAAAGCGUGGGUAGCAAACAGGAUUAGAUACCCUUGUAGUC
rnacentral:rRNA from 1 species